rnacentral:rRNA from 1 species
GAUCAUGGCUCAGGAUGAACGCUGGCGGCGUGCUUAACACAUGCAAGUCGAACGGGAAACCUUUUAUUGAAGCUUCGGCGGAUUUAGCUGGUUUCUAGUGGCGGACGGGUGAGUAACGCGUGGGUAACCUGCCCUAUACAGGGGGAUAACAACCAGAAAUGGUUGCUAAUACCGCAUAAGCGCACAGGACCGCAUGGUCCGGUGUGAAAAACUCCGGUGGUAUAGGAUGGACCCGCGUUGGAUUAGCCAGUUGG